UCUCUUCGGUCCAUCAAUACCAAAGAGACGAAGGUCAUCUCCUAAGGCUCUGCGGAUAGCUCUUCCCAGCCUGCCACAUGGCUGCUUCUGUCAAAAUGGAACCGAAUGAAAGUGUGACCACAUCUCUGCAAACUCAUCAGUGCUGAGGGCCUAAACGAGCAACCCGAAGUUCGCCUCUCACAGACAGGCAGGUGCUGGCACAUGCUGCGGAAAAGAAGUGACGGGACAGGCAGGUGACAGGACCUGCUGACGCAGAGUCA